UACAGAGGUCUCGAGCGUUAGGCGGAAUCACUGGGCUUAAAGCGUGUGUAGGCGGAUCGUUAAGUACCUUGUGAAAUCCCACGGCUUAACCGUGGAACUGCUUGGCAUACUGGCGGUCUUGAGCCAGCUAGGGGCUACCGGAACAAAUGGUGGAGCGGUGAAAUGCGUAGAUAUCAUUUGGAACGCCAAUGGUGAAAACAGGUAGCUGGGGCUGUGCUGACGCUGAGACACGAAAGCCAGGGGAGCAAACGGG
rnacentral:rRNA from 1 species